GACGAACGCUGGCGGCGUGCUUAACACAUGCAAGUCGAACGGAAAGGCCCUGCUUUUGUGGGGUGCUCGAGUGGCGAACGGGUGAGUAACACGUGAGUAACCUGCCCUUGACUUUGGGAUAACUUCAGGAAACUGGGGCUAAUACCGGAUAGGAGCUCCUGCUGCAUGGUGGGGGUUGGAAAGUUUCGGCGGUUGGGGAUGGACUCGCGGCUUAUCAGCUUGUUGGUGGGGUAGUGGCUUACCAAGGCUUUGAGGGGUAGCCGGCCUGGGGGGGUGGCCGGCCCCCAUGGUCCUGCGGGAGGGCCCAGUCGCGUACGGGGGACAACGGGGGGAAAUCUUGCACAAUGGGGGGGAGUCUGUUGCGACGGCCCCGGGGUGGGAAAGACGGCCUGGGGGUUAAGAACCGCUUUCGCCUGAGACCAAGCUGUGGUGACGGUAAUGGAAAAAAAAGCACCGGCUAACUUCGUG
rnacentral:rRNA from 1 species